rnacentral:rRNA from 1 species
UUCGAUGAUACGCGAAGAACCUUACCAGGUCUUGACAUCCCCCCGCGAUGCUUUAGGAGAUAAAGCGGAGGUAUUCGGGGAGACAGGUGGUGCAUGGUUGUCGUCAGCUCGUGUCGUGAGAUGUUGGGUUAAGUCCCGCAACGAGCGCAACCCUUGUCCUUAGUUACCAGCACGUUAUGGUGGGCACUCUAAGGAGACUGCCGGUGACAAACCGGAGGAAGGUGGGGAUGACGUCAAGUCAUCAUGGCCCUUACGGCCUGGGCUACACACGUGCUACAAUGGUCGGUACAAAGGGUUGCCAAGCCGCGAGGUGGAGCUAAUCCCAUAAAACCGAUCGUAGUCCGGAUCGCAGUCUGCAACUCGACUGCGUGAAGUCGGAAUCGCUAGUAAUCGUGAAUCAGAAUGUCACGGUGAAUACGUUCCCGGGCCUU